GGCUCAGAACGAACGCUGGCGGCAGGCUUAACACAUGCAAGUCGAGCGCCCCGCAAGGGGAGCGGCAGACGGGUGAGUAACGCGUGGGAAUCUACCCUUUUCUACGGAAUAACGCAGGGAAACUUGUGCUAAUACCGUAUGUGUCCUUCGGGAGAAAGAUUUAUCGGGAAAGGAUGAGCCCGCGUUGGAUUAGCUAGUUGGUGGGGUAAAGGCCUACCAAGGCGACGAUCCAUAGCUGGUCUGAGAGGAUGAUCAGCCACAUUGGGACUGAGACACGGCCCAAACUCCUACGGGAGGCAGCAGUGGGGAAUAUUGGACAAUGGGCGCAAGCCUGAUCCAGCCAUGCCGCGUGAGUGAUGAAGGCCCUAGGGUUGUAAAGCUCUUUCACCGGAGAAGAUAAU
rnacentral:rRNA from 1 species